CCGCCACGUUUACCAGCCGGAGCCUCAAAUCAUGUCCCUUUGUGGUGAUAAAGAGGACACAGCCUGGUGUGAAGCUACAUUUAUUACGGAAGGAUGCCAGCCGGGGAUCCGAACACGUCCGAUAUCAUCCAAGAGAAUGUGGCAGCUGAAGGGGGAGAGGCCAAGAAAGAGGCCAAGGGUGAAGACAUUUAGCCACCCCCCCUGAAGUACAUGGCAUCAUUCAACCCUCUUGGUGAGCUGCAGGAAUGUGCUUCCCAUUGCAGUGCACCAGCUCCAUGUACUGAUUUUGGUGUGAACUUGAUGGGGUUGGAGGAAACUCGACUUGGCCAUCAAGCUCACCACAAUAUAACAUGAAAAGUGAAAAUUGCUGCACACAACAGUCUGUCGUCUGCACCGGGAGGCAAGGCAGCUCAAAGCCCAGGCUGUUACAAAUCCUGGGCAGUUUUUGCCCAGAGCCAGCAAUUUUUUAGAUCCAAUAGGGAUGGAUUUUUUCUGAGGUCAGGUUCAACAUGCUGCAAGAUGCCAAGAUCUAAGCCUAGUAGGAGAUAUGGGUUACAAGAGAGGAGGUUUGCUCUGGCCUUAUACUUUCAAAGUCCAAAUGCUAAUAGAUUUCUGAGCACAGUAUUUCACUUGUCUUCAGUUUCAACACUUUACUCAUGACUCAGGGGUAUUUCAGUAAAUGUUGGCUGGAGCAAACAGACUCUGACAGCCCUGCAGCAAAGAGCACAGGCUUUGUCAAAAGAAGAGAAACUUUGUGGGAUUUGCCAUUAUUUAGUAUUACUCUUGUUACGCCAAGAAUUUUUUUCCACAUACUUUGCCAAAUAUUGCAAGUAAUGCACCAUUGUUGGGCUUGCUUGUUAUAAAUCAGAUCUUGUUCAAUUAACAAGCUUUGGGUGUCUGCCACUUUCCAGUUGUAAUGCAAGGAAUCAUUUAUCUUCCCUGCUAGAUAUCACACGUAAUGCACCAUUGUUGGUUUUGCCUGUUAUAAAUCAGAUCUUGUUCAGUUAAAAAGCUUUAGGUGUCUGCCACUUUCCAAUUGUAAUGCAAGGAAUCCCCUGCCAGAUAUCGCAUGUAAUGCACCAUUGUUGGUUUUGCCUGUUAUAAAUCAGAUCUUGUUCAGCUCACAAGCUUUGAAUAUCUACCAUUGUUUAUU